GAUGAGUGUGCACAAAAACACUUGUGUGUGAAGGAGAUUUAAGUGGAAAAGUCGAUGCACAGAGACAGUACCACUCUCUCGGCAUUGGAAGCCUGGGUCCAUUGGCACGAAAAGUCGUUACACCUGGAGACUUCCUCAGCUGCAUUGGAUGGCCAUGUUGUGAAUAUAUGAUGGAUAGACUCAACCCAGCUAACAACCUUUGAAAAAUUCAAUGAGGAGAAGGAAAUACAAAAAGAGCCAUUGCACAGUACCAAAAAAGCAUAAAGCCAAACUGCAUAGUGCCAAUCAAGCACAAGGUCAAACAGAUCAACCAAUCCCAAUGGGAUUGAUGAGAUUUUGAGCCAAGACAAGAGGACCUGAACUUCUUUGGAGUUCAAGGUUGGGGCUAUUUUGACAUAUAUCAAGCCAGGUCUUCCUUGUUCCACAUUCUAUCAAGUAUCUCAAAUUUGGCUCCUACCUGGCUCCUAUAAUCUAGUCCCUAUUCUGUCUUUCAUAGUGUGGCAAUCGUUCUGCAGUCCUGGCCACAGCAGGGUAAGUGCAUAAUAACUUAAAUCACUUUAAUUGGACCCUGAUUCAAGGACUUGUUAUAGGUUUAUUUUCCUUUACUUAGAAUUUUUACACACAAGAC
rnacentral:lncRNA from 1 species